rnacentral:rRNA from 1 species
AUGCGACUGAAAAACUGCAGCUUCUUGCUCACCGAGGACAUCAGGUUUACCUCCGCUUCCCUAAAGAAAGUGGUUAUCAUCGGCUUCCGUGUGCUGGAAAAUAAUCCUUUCGGGCUGAUUUUGGAGGCUCCUGCCCUUGCUUCACUCCGCCUGACUGGGCAUCAUCGUCACAUUUGCGGUAGUUGGCCACAAGAUUGCAUGCCAUCUCUUGUCGAUGCAUCGAUCCAACUGACUGUGUGGAAUUGGUUCAAUUACAACAACAACGAAGAUAACGACCUGAUUGAGAUGCAAUUGUCUUUGCUCGACGAGCUUUUCAAUGUGAUGAGUUUGCAUUUGUCUCGUUUCGGUGUCAUGGUACGUACACCUAAUUAUUCAGAUUGCAUCUCUUUUGUUUAUAGCCAUUUAACGAUAUUUUUUUAA